rnacentral:rRNA from 1 species
CAAUAGCGUAUAUUAAAGUUGUUGCAGUUAAAAAGCUCGUAGUUGGACCUUGGACCUGGACAGGCGGUCCGCCUCACGGCGAGUACUGUCUUGCUGGUCUUUCCUCUUGGUGAUCUGUUGUUUCGGCAGCAGGGAACCAGGACCUUUACUUUGAAAAAAUUAGAGUGUUCAAAGCAGGCUCGACGCCGGAAUAUAUUAGCAUGGAAUAAUAAAAUAGGACGUGCGGUUCUAUUUUGUUGGUUUUUGGAAUCGCCGUAAUGAUUAAUAGGGACAGUCGGGGGCAUUAGUACUCACAUGCUAGAGGUGAAAUUCUUGGAUUUUGUGAAGACUAACUUCUGCGAAAGCAUUUGCCAAGGAUGUUUUCAUUA